AUUGAACGCUGGCGGCAUGCCUUACACAUGCAAGUCGAACGGCAGCACGGGUGCUUGCACCUGGUGGCGAGUGGCGAACGGGUGAGUAAUACAUCGGAACGUACCUUAUCGUGGGGGAUAACGCAGCGGAGGCUGUGCUAAUACCGCAUACGCCCUGAGGGGGAAAGCGGGGGAUCGCAAGACCUCGCGCGAUUAGAGCGGCCGAUGCCUGAUUAGCUAGUUGGUGGGGUAAAAGCCCACCAAGGCGACGAUCAGUAGCUAGUCUGAGAGGACGAUCAGCCACACUGGGACUGAGACACGGCCCAGACUCCUACGGGAGGCAGCAGUGGGGAAUUUUGGACAAUGGGGGCAACCCUGAUCCAGCAAUGCCGCGUGAGUGAAGAAGGCCUUCGGGUUGUAAAGCUCUUUUGUCAGGGAAGAAACACCGGCUCUAACACAGUCCGGGAAUGACGGUACCUGAAGAAUAAGCACCGGCUAACUACGUGCCAGCCGCCGCAGUAA
rnacentral:rRNA from 1 species